rnacentral:rRNA from 1 species
AGAAUCAACGCCGGCGGCGUGCCUAACACAUGCAAGUCGCACGAGAAAGGGUAGCAAUACCUGAGUAAAGUGGCGCACGGGUGAGUAACACGUGAAUAAUCUACCUCCGAGUGGGGAAUAACUGAGAGAAAUCUUAGCUAAUACCGCAUAACACUUACGAGUCAAAGCAGCAAUGCGCUUGGAGAGGAGUUCGCGGCCGAUUAGUUAGUUGGCGGGGUAAUGGCCCACCAAGACGAUGAUCGGUA